AACUUUUGACAACGGAUCUCUUGGUUCUGGCAUCGAUGAAGAACGAAGCGAAAUGCGAUAAGUAAUGUGAAUUGCAGAAUUCAGUGAAUCAUCGAAUCUUUGAACGCACAUUGCGCCCCGUGGUAUUCCGCGGGGCAUGCCUGUUCGAGCGUCAUUUCAACCCAUCAAGCUUCUGCUUGGUCUUGGGGCCUGCGGUUUCGCAGCCUCUAAACUCAGUGGCGGUGCUAUUGAGCUCUGAGCGUAGUAAUUUUUUCUCGCUAUAGGGUCUCGGUGGUGACUUGCCAGCAACCCCCAAUUUUUAUCAGGUUGACCUCGGAUCAGGUAGGGAUACCCGCUGAAUUUAAGCAUAUCAAUAAGCGGAGGCU
rnacentral:misc_RNA from 1 species